GCCUUUUGUUGGUUAUUUUGUCUAGUUAAAGAUUUUUCCAAAUUUGGGGUAGAUGGUUUAUGGAAUGACAUGAAUGAGCCUGCUGUCUUUGAGGUGAAGUGAAUCAAGUUCUUUGCAUUCCAUUAUUCUAUAUGUCUGCUUAAUCUCUCAUCUCAGUUAUUCUUUUGAGACAAUUACAAAAAUCAUGCCCGAGAGUACUAUUCACAGGGGAGAUGCUGAACUUGGAGGAUGCCAAAAUCACGCACAUUAUCACAAUGUGUAUGGAAUGUUAAUGGCCAGAUCAACAUAUGAAGGCAUGAAAGUAGCUGAUGAGAGUAAUAAUCUAUCAGGGAGCAUCUAUAUAUGAGCAUAUCCAUGGUUCCCCAACUGUAGGCUGCAAGGAGUCGCAGGACUUAUUCUAAGGCGGACCUCGACAUCAUUGGUUGGAGUCGCUAAAUUAUAUCCAGUCUAUUAUGUAGUUUGGAUUCUCAUAAGUUAGACAGAUUAAUUGCAUGUUAUCGGAU